rnacentral:sRNA from 1 species
GCUGGGCAUGGUGGCACAUGCCUGUAAUCCCUGCGGCUCAGGAGGCUGAGGCAGGAGGAUUGUGAGUUCAAAGCCAGCCUCAGCAACUUAGCAAGGCCCUGAGCAACUCAGUGAGACUCUGACUCUA